GCUUUCAUUCAAGGGCUGAUUGCCCGGUGGUUUUCCCACAGGAUGGAUGAGGAUGCUGGUGGCCACCCUGCCAUGUGUGUGAGGACUCUGCAGAAGUUUUGAAGAAAGGAUAGCAACAGAUACAGCCACUGCCAGAGACCCAGCCAUGAGAAAACAGAUUUACUGUUUCCAAAACACAGAACCUUAGGGACUGGAAAUACACUAGUGCCGAGGGUCCCAGCUUGAAAGGCAUCUCUGGACAAAAGUGCACAGGGAGCAACUCCAGAGGAAAGAUCUGCAGCCAUCCUGUAGUGAAUGGCACAUGCCUUCUGUGUGGCUUCAACAAGACCCUCAACCAUGUGGUGUCCCAGUCUUCCCAAGGAAAAAUUGAGAAUAACCUUGUGUCACCAAGCAUAGGACCCUCAACCAUGU
rnacentral:lncRNA from 12 species